rnacentral:rRNA from 1 species
CGUUAGCGGCGGACGGGUGAGUAACACGUGGGUAACCUACCUAUAAGACUGGGAUAACUUCGGGAAACCGGAGCUAAUACCGGAUAACAUUUGGAACCGCAUGGUUCUAAAGUGAAAGAUGGUUUUGCUAUCACUUAUAGAUGGACCCGCGCCGUAUUAGCUAGUUGGUAAGGUAACGGCUUACCAAGGCAACGAUACGUAGCCGACCUGAGAGGGUGAUCGGCCACACUGGAACUGAGACACGGUCCAGACUCCUACGGGAGGCAGCAGUAGGGAAUCUUCCGCAAUGGGCGAAAGCCUGACGGAGCAACGCCGCGUGAGUGAUGAAGGGUUUCGGCUCGUAAAACUCUGUUAUUAGGGAAGAACAAAUGUGUAAGUAACUGUGCACGUCUUGACGGUACCUAAUCAGAAAGCCACGGCUAACUACGUGCCAGCAGCCGCGGUAAUACGUAGGUGGCAAGCGUUAUCCGGAAUUAUUGGGCGUAAAGCGCGCGUAGGCGGUUUCUUAAGUCUGAUGUGAAAGCCCACGGCUCAACCGUGGAGGGUCAUUGGAAACUGGGAAACUUGAGUGCAGAAGAGGAAAGUGGAAUUCCAUGUGUAGCGGUGAAAUGCGCAGAGAUAUGGAGGAACACCAGUGGCGAAGGCGACUUUCUGGUCUGUAACUGACGCUGAUGUGCGAAAGCGUGGGGAUCAAACAGGAUUAGAUACCCUGGUAGUCCACGCCGUAAACGAUGAGUGCUAAGUGUUAG